GACGAACCGAGCGAACGUUGUUCGGAAUCACUGGGCUUAAAGGGCGCGUAGGCGGGUGCUCAAGUCCGCGGUGAAAUCCUCCGGCUCAACCGGAGAACUGCCGUGGAUACUGGGUGUCUCGAGGGUGAUAGGGGUAUGCGGAACUAUCGGUGGAGCGGUGAAAUGCGUUGAUAUCGAUAGGAACUCCGGUGGCGAAGGCGGCAUACUGGAUCACAUCUGACGCUGAGGCGCGAAAGCCAGGGGAGCAAACGGG
rnacentral:rRNA from 1 species